GAUGAACGCUAGCGGCAGGCUUAAUACAUGCAAGUCGAGGGGUAGCAAGAUUGUAGCAAUACAAUUGUUGACGACCGGCAAACGGGUGCGGAACACGUACACAACCUUCCUACAAGUGGGGAAUAGCCCAGAGAAAUUUGGAUUAAUACCCCGUAACAUAGCGAUGUGGCAUCACAUUGCUAUUAUAGCUUCGGCGCUUGUUGAUGGGUGUGCGGCUGAUUAGAUAGUUGGCGGGGUAACGGCCCACCAAGUCUACGAUCAGUAGCUGAUGUGAGAGCAUGAUCAGCCACACGGACACUGAGAAACGGGCCCGACUCCUACGGGAGGCAGCAGUAAGGAAUAUUGGACAAUGGACGCAGGUCUGAUCCAGCCAUGCCGCGUGAAGGAUUAAGGUCCUCUGGAUUGUAAACUUCUUUUAUAAGGGACGAAAAAAGGUCUUUCUAGAUCGUCUGACGGUACCUUAUGAAUAAGCACCGGCUAACUCCGUGCCAGCCGCCGCAGUAAUAC
rnacentral:rRNA from 1 species